GACGUAGGGGGCCAGCGUUGCUCGGAAUUACUGGGUGUAAAGGGCGCGUAGGCGGCCUGUUAAGUCGAACGUGAAAUCCCCGGGCUCAACCCGGGAACUGCGUCCGAUACUGGCAGGCUUGAAUCCGGGAGAGGGAUGCGGAAUUCCAGGCGUAGCGGUGAAAUGCGUAGAUAUCUGGAGGAACACCGGUGGCGAAGGCGGCAUCCUGGACCGGCAUUGACGCUGAGGCGCGAAAGCCAGGGGAGCAAACGGG
rnacentral:rRNA from 1 species